rnacentral:rRNA from 1 species
GUGUCAGCCGCCGCGGUAAUACGUAGGUGGCAAGCGUUGUCCGGAUUUACUGGGCGUAAAGCGUGUGUAGGCGGCUAUUUAAGUGAGAUGUGAAAUCCCCGGGCUUAACUUUGGGGCUGCAUUUCAAACUGGAUGUCUGGAGUGCAGGAGAGGAAAGUAGAAUUCCUAGUGUAGCGGUGACAUGCGUAGAGAUUAGGAUGAAAACCAGUGGCGAAGGCGGCUUUCUGGACUGCAACUGACGCUGAGGCAUGAAAGCGUGGGGAGCAAACAGGAUUAGAUACCCUGGUAGGCCACGCCGUAAACGAUGAAUACUAGGUGUAGGGGGUAUCGACUCCCUCUGUGCCGCAGCUAACGCAAUAAGUAUUCCGCCUGGGAAGUACGGGCGCAAGAUUAAAACUCAAAUGAAUUGGCGG